GGGGGGGGCAUCUAUAAUGCAGUCGAGCGGACCGACGGGAGCUUGCUCCCUUAGGUCAGCGGCGGACGGGUGAGUAACACGUGGGUAACCUGCCUGUAAGACUGGGAUAACUCCGGGAAACCGGGGCUAAUACCGGAUGCUUGAUUGAACCGCAUGGUUCAAUCAUAAAAGGUGGCUUUCAGCUACCACUUACAGAUGGACCCGCGGCGCAUUAGCUAGUUGGUGAGGUAACGGCUCACCAAGGCGACGAUGCGUAGCCGACCUGAGAGGGUGAUCGGCCACACUGGGACUGAGACACGGCCCAGACUCCUACGGGAGGCAGCAGUAGGGAAUCUUCCGCAAUGGACGAAAGUCUGACGGAGCAACGCCGCGUGAGUGAUGAAGGUUUUCGGAUCGUAAAACUCUGUUGUUAGGGAAGAACAAGUACCGUUCGAAUAGGGCGGUACCUUGACGGUACCUAACCAGAAAGCCACGGCUAACUACGUGCCAGCAGCCGCGGUAAUACGUAGGUGGCAAGCGUUGUCCGGAAUUAUUGGGCGUAAAGCGCGCGCAGGCGGUUUCUUAAGUCUGAUGUGAAAGCCCCCGGCUCAACCGGGGAGGGUCAUUGGAAACUGGGGAACUUGAGUGCAGAAGAGGAGAGUGGAAUUCCACGUGUAGCGGUGAAAUGCGUAGAGAUGUGGAGGAACACCAGUGGCGAAGGCGACUCUCUGGUCUGUAACUGACGCUGAGCGCGAAAGCGUGGGGAGCGAACAGGAUUAGAUACCCUGGUAGUCCACGCCGUAACGAUGAGUGCUAAGUGUUAAGAAGGAUUUCCGCCCUUUAUGCUGCAGCAACGCAUAGCACUCCGGCUUGGGGAGUACGUCGCAGACUGAACUCAAGAUGGACCGGGGUCGCCAAGCGUGGACCAUGUGUAUCGAGCACGGAAGAAUCCGACCAGGUCUUGAAACU
rnacentral:rRNA from 1 species